rnacentral:rRNA from 1 species
GACAGGGGGUGCAAACGUUGUUCGGAAUUACUGGGCGUAAAGCGAGUGUAGGCGGUCUCACAAGUCGGGUGUGAAAGCCCUGGGCUCAACCCAGGAAGUGCACUCGAAACUGCGAGGCUAGAGUAUCGGAGAGGUUGGUGGAAUUCUCGGUGUAGAGGUGAAAUUCGUAGAUAUCGAGAGGAACACCGGUGGCGAAGGCGGCCAACUGGACGAAUACUGACGCUGAGACUCGAAAGCGUGGGGAGCAAACAGG